rnacentral:rRNA from 1 species
UUGCUCCCUGAUGUUAGCGGCGGACGGGUGAGUAACACGUGGGUAACCUGCCUGUAAGACUGGGAUAACUCCGGGAAACCGGGGCUAAUACCGGAUGGUUGUUUGAACCGCAUGGUUCAGACAUAAAAGGUGGCUUCGGCUACCACUUACAGAUGGACCCGCGGCGCAUUAGCUAGUUGGUGAGGUAACGGCUCACCAAGGCGACGAUGCGUAGCCGACCUGAGAGGGUGAUCGGCCACACUGGGACUGAGACACGGCCCAGACUCCUACGGGAGGCAGCAGUAGGGAAUCUUCCGCAAUGGACGAAAGUCUGACGGAGCAACGCCGCGUGAGUGAUGAAGGUUUUCGGAUCGUAAAGCUCUGUUGUUAGGGAAGAACAAGUGCCGUUCAAAUAGGGCGGCACCUUGACGGUACCUAACCAGAAAGCCACGGCUAACUACGUGCCAGCAGCCGCGGUAAUACGUAGGUGGCAAGCGUUGUCCGGAAUUAUUGGGCGUAAAGGGCUCGCAGGCGGUUUCUUAAGUCUGAUGUGAAAGCCCCCGGCUCAACCGGGGAGGGUCAUUGUAAACU